CUACGGGAUGCUGCAGUGAGGAAUAUUGCACAAUGGGGGGAACCCUGAUGCAGUAACGCCGCGUGGAGGAUGACGCAUUUCGGUGUGUAAACUCCUUUUAUAUGUCAAGAAAAUGACGGUAGCAUAUGAAUAAGCACCGGCUAACUCCGUGCCAGCAGCCGCGGUAAUACGGAGGGUGCAAGCGUUACUCGGAAUCACUGGGCGUAAAGGACGCGUAGGCGGGUUGGAAAGUCAGGUGUGAAAUCCUACAGCUUAACUGUAGAACUGCACUUGAAACUUCUAAUCUAGAGUAUGGGAGGGGAGAUGGAAUUAGUUGUGUAGGGGUAAAAUCCGUAGAUAUCACUAGGAAUACCUAAAGCGAAGGCGAUCUCCUGGAACAUUACUGACGCUAAGGCGUGAAAGCGUGGGGAGCAAACAGGAUUAGAUACCCCCGGUAGUC
rnacentral:rRNA from 1 species